UAUGUGAUCGUCUCUCGCAUAUCAAUAAGCGGAGGAAAAGAAACUAACAAGGAUUCCCCUAGUAACGGCGAGUGAAGCGGGAAGAGCUCAAAUUUGGAAAUCUUAAAGGGUUUCCCUUUACGAAUUGUAGUUUAAAGAAGUGUUUUCUGUUGAGGUUUUGGUAAAAGUUCUUUGGAAUAGGACAUCAUAGAGGGUGAGAAUCCCGUAUUUGACCUUUACUUUCAACUUUGUGAUACACUUUCAAAGAGUCAGGAUUGUUUGGGAAUGCAGUCCAAAAUGGGUGGUAAAUUUCAUCUAAAGCUAAAUAUUGGCGAGAGACCGAUAGCGAACAAGUACCGUGAGGGAAAGAUGAAAAGAACUUUGAAAAGAGAGUUAAACAGUACGUGAAAUUGUCAAAAGGGAAGCGUUUGACACCAGUGUUGUUUUUCUGAAAAUCAAUUAAAGAACUGUUUAUGCUAAGUUGUUUAGACUUUAUCAGCUAUCUGUUUAGUUUUGAGCUUUUCUUUAAUGCACUUUUCAGUUAACAAGUCAACAUCAAUUUCUUUUGCUGUAAAAAAGCUUGAGGAAGGUGGCUUGAGAUUCGUCUUAAGUGUUUAUAGCCUCUUGCCUAUGCAGUCGGAGAGAUUGAGGUCUGCAGCGUAGAUCCUUCGGGGCUAAAUGCAUUUGUGCUAAGUUAUAGCAUUUUAUAGACAACUUGUUGACUAUGAUUUGUCUUGUAGCUUACUCGCUUAUGUUAUUUUACCUACGCUUAGGAUGUUGAGCGCAUGUCUCUCUCU
rnacentral:rRNA from 1 species